GGGGAUGUAGCUCAGUGGUAGAGCGUCCGCUUUGAAAGCGGAAGGCACGGGUUUUGAUCCCCCGCAUCUCCA